UUUGUGCCAUGUAUGAUUUGUGUUGUGUUAGUCAUUGGUCAGAUCAUAUGUUGUGAUAUGUUGAUUCUUAAUGGUUUACGGGUGGAUAUCCUCUUACACAACAUCUAAAUGUGGUAAUAUCUGAUUUUCAGAUACUUUAUUAGUGAAUAUAUGACUUAAGGAUUUAUUGUUUGGUAUUUGAGGUGGAUAGAAACAUAAGGAGUAGCACUUGUGUGAUGAUUAUGGAUUUGGUGAUUUGUAGUUGGUGAUUUGAUUUCAAUGAUCUUACGGUUGAUUGACCCUUGGAUUUUGGAUUAGAACUUUUGUAUGGUGGAUACUUGAGUAUUUGGAGGAUCUAUUGAUAGUGGAUUAUGGAUUUCUGAAGUAGUUGACUUAACUACGGGUAGCUAGAAAGUAGUGUGGAGUAGCGGAAGCAUGAUGAGCUCAUAACCCACAGAGUCAUAUCUUACGAUUGGAGAUUUGUUCAUGGAUACUUGGAUUGAAUGGUAUAAGAGUAUCUUGUUUGGUUGUUAUCCUUGGAUGAGGAUCCCCGAGUUAAGUAGUAAAUUUGGGGACUAAAUUUUUAUUAGUGGGGGAGAAUGUAAAAUACCGAACUAAAUAAUAAUUAUAUAAUAAGGUUUAAUAGGGUAAUAAUUUUAACGAAAUUUUUAGAAAUUUUCUGGGAUUUAAUUGAACCUCGUAUGAUGUAUAUUAAGGGGAUGCAUUUAUAGGCUUAGGAAAAAGCCUGUUUGGAAAUACCUGGAGGUGGGAGUUGAUUGAGAAAGAGAUCUAAGGUUUAAUCAAAAUUUCCCUAGGUUAUAAAAACAUCUCCUGUGCCCUAGCUUCCUUAUCCGCCGAAACCCAUCUUCCCCAAACCCCCGUCGCAACCUCUCUUCCCUCUCCCUCUCUCGAUCUCCUGCACCUCAGCCAACGAUCUCCUCCUCCGCACGCGGGCACCAGACGCCGAGCCACAGCGGCCUCUCCUUCUCUUUCGAGUCACAGCCGUGGCCUCACCUCUUCGUUGAGCCCCCAGCUGUCGCCCGAUUCCUCUCUGCCCUGCGCCCUAGUUGUCCUUGACGCCUGCGCCACAAGGGAGCUGGUCGCCGGUAGCUGAGCACUCCAUCCUUGUCUUCAUCACCGUCGACAAUCUCGACCCGAGCGAGAAUGCCCUGUCGUCUUCCCGGUGAUUGCCCUUCUUCCUUGACUAGCUGGCUACACGGUCAGAACCUCGGCCAAGAGAGGAAAGGCCGAGCCCUAGCCUUGAUUCACUGCCGCCACCUUCUAUUUGUCUCCGGCGGAGGAUCACAGAUCAAGGCUUCGAAUUUGGGUCUGCCAUCGUUGGUUACCUGGUUGCCGGGAGAUAGUCUUCGUGGGAGUUAAUUCCGUGGGCAAAGAUUUGAGGUGUCCACUUCAACCUUGGCUUUGCAUCAGUUGAUAGCACUAGUCCCGAUUCGUCUGGAAUGCUCCCCCAUUGUUGCAAUAACAAAUGCCUCUCUGGAGGAAAUGCUUCCCUAGAAGAAACGACGUUGUUGUGGCCUUGAUGAUACAUCUUCUGCUUGGUAAUCCUAUGCACAUCAGAUCUUUGAGUAGUUGAAACUUGUCGCUUUAGAUUCAUCUACUUCGUAUUUCUGGAAUGCCAGGACAUGCACAUCUAUGAUCUAUCAUUUUCCCAAAGGCUCAUCUACUUCUCUUGCAGCUGAA